rnacentral:rRNA from 1 species
CAGCCGUAAACAAUGUGCGUUAGGUGUGUCGGUAACCACGUGUUACUGAUGCGCCGAAGAGAAAUCGUGAAACGCACCACCUGGGAAGUACGGUCGCAAGGCUGAAACUUAAAGGAUUGGCGGGGGAGCACCACAACAGGUGGAGCCUGCGGUUUAAUUGGAUUCAACGCCGGACAUCUCACCGGAUAAGACAGCUGAAUGAUUGUCAAUCUGAAGGUUUUACAUGACUAGCUGAGAGGAGUGCAUGGCGUCAGUGACU